CUACAAUGGCGUAAACAAAGGGAAGCGAAGUGGCGACAUGGAGCAAAUCCCAAAAAUAAACGUCCCAGUUCGGAUUGUAGUCUGCAACCCGACUACAUGAAGCCGGAAUCGCUAGUAAUCGCGGAUCAGAAUGCCGCGGUGAAUACGUUCCCGGGUCUUGUACACACCGCCCGUCACGCCAUGGGAGUUGGAAAUGCCCGAAGUCAGUGGCCCAACCGGAAGGGGGGAGCUGCCGAAGGCAGGUUCGAUGACUGGGGUGAAGUCGUAACAAGGUACC
rnacentral:rRNA from 1 species